UUUGAUUCUUUCGGGAUGAAAAGUUUUGUGACUGAGCGGCGGACGGGUGAGUAACGCGUGGGUAACCUGCCUCAUACAGGGGGAUAACAGUUAGAAAUGACUGCUAAUACCGCAUAAGACCACAGCACCGCAUGGUGCAGGGGUAAAAACUCCGGUGGUAUGAGAUGGACCCGCGUCUGAUUAGGUAGUUGGUGAGGUAACGGCUCACUAAGCCGACGAUCAGUAGCCGACCUGAGAGGGUGACCGGCCACAUUGGGACUGAGACACGGCCCAAACUCC
rnacentral:rRNA from 1 species